rnacentral:rRNA from 1 species
AAUAGAUACCCCGGUAGUCCACGCCGUAAACGAUGAGUGCUAAGUGUUAGGGGGUUUCCGCCCCUUAGUGGCUGCAGCUAACGCAUUAAGCACUCCGCCUGGGGAGUACGGUCGCAAGACUGAAACUCAAAGGAAUUGACGGGGGCCCGCACAAGCGGUGGAGCAUGUGGUUUAAUUCGAAGCAACGCGAAGAACCUUACCAGGUCUUGACAUCCCAUUGACUACUAUGGAGACAUAGUUUUCCCUUCGGGGACAACGGUGACAGGUGGUGCAUGGUUGUCGUCAGCUCGUGUCGUGAGAUGUUGGGUUAAGUCCCGCAACGAGCGCAACCCUUGUUCUUAGUUGCCAUCAUUUAGUUGGGCACUCUAAGGAGACUGCCGGUGACAAACCGGAGGAAGGUGGGGAUGACGUCAAAUCAUCAUGCCCCUUAUGACCUGGGCUACACACGUGCUACAAUGGACGGUACAAACGGUUGCCAACCCGCGAGGGGGAGCUAAUCCGAUAAACCGUUCUCAGUUCGGAUUGUAGGCUGCAACUCGCCUACAUGAAGCC